rnacentral:tRNA from 1 species
GCCAGUGUGGCAUAGUGGUUUGAGCACUGGACUAGGACUUUGGAGACCAGGGUUUGAUUCCCAGCUUGGCCA